rnacentral:rRNA from 1 species
AUACGUUGUGGGCGAGCGUUGUCCGGAAUGAUUGGGCGUAAAGGGUGCGUAGGCGGCCUGUCAAGUCUGGAGUGAAAGUCCUGGUUUCAAGAUGGGAAUUGCUUUGGAUACUGCUGGGCUUGAGUGCAGGAGAGGUUAUCGGAAUUCCCGGUGUAGCGGCGAAAUGCGUAGAGAUGGGGAGGAACACCAGUGGCGAAGGCGGGUAACUGGACUGCAACUGACGCUGAGGCGCGAAAGUGUGGGGAGCAAACAGGAUUAGAUGCCCUGGUAGUCCACACUGUAAACGAUGAAUGCUAGGUGUAAGAGGUAUCGACCCCUUUUGUGCCGGAGUUAACACAAUAAGCAUGCCGCCUGGGGAGUACGGCCGCAAGGUUGAAACUCAAAUGAAUUGGCGGGG